rnacentral:rRNA from 1 species
CGUAGAAAUACGUCCCCCACUUGUGGUCGGUUUACAGGUGGUGCAUGGUUGUCGUCAGCUCGUGUCGUGAGAUGUUGGGUUAAGUCCCGCAACGAGCGCAACCCUCGUUCUAUGUUGCCAGCACGUGAUGGUGGGGACUCAUAGGAGACUGCCGGGGUCAACUCGGAGGAAGGUGGGGAUGACGUCAAAUCAUCAUGCCCCUUAUGUCUUGGGCUUCACGCAUGCUACAGUGGCCGGUACAAAGGGUUGCGAUACUGUGAGGUGGAGCUAAUCCCAAAAAGCCGGUCUCAGUUCGGAUUGGGGUCUGCAACUCGACCCCAUGAAGUCGGAGUCGCUAGUAAUCGCAGAUCAGCAACGCUGCGGUGAAUACGUUCCCGGGCCUUGUACACACCG